GACGAACGCUGGCGGCGUGCCUAAUACAUGCAAGUAGAACGCACAGUUUAUACCGUAGCUUGCUACACCAUAGACUGUGAGUUGCGAACGGGUGAGUAACGCGUAGGUAACCUGCCUGGUAGCGGGGGAUAACUAUUGGAAACGAUAGCUAAUACCGCAUAAUAUUAAUUAUUGCAUGAUAAUUAAUUGAAAGGUGCAAUUGCACCACUACCAGAUGGACCUGCGUUGUAUUAGCUAGUAGGUGAGGUAACGGCUCACCUAGGCGACGAUACAUAGCCGACCUGAGAGGGUGGUCGGCCACACUGGGACUGAGACACGGCCCAGACUCCUACGGGAGGCAGCAGUAGGGAAUCUUCGGCAAUGGACGAAAGUCUGACCGAGCAACGCCGCGUGAGUGAAGAAGGGUUUCGGAUCGUAAAGCUCUGUUGUAAGAGAAGAACGGGUGUGAGAGUGGAAAGUUCACACUGUGACGGUAGCUUAACAGAAAGGGACGGCUAACUACGUG
rnacentral:rRNA from 1 species